AUGCUUUGCAGAAAAUUUACUUUCAUAUUCUGGUGCAAUUAAGAGUGGACAAGUUUGUCCCACCUUAAUUGAGAUGCUUUCUUUUCUGUUAACUGGAGUGCUGUUGCAAUUAACCAUAGAGUUUGUGGUGUGGUUUCAAAAUUCCCUUAGUCUCUUCCAAGUAUGAAAUAUAUCAUCAAUAAUGUGUCAGCAAUUUUUGGUGGCUAGAGAAAAAUAGCUGUGUAGCCUUUUGUAUUGAUUAAUAGUUAACCCCAUCAAUUUUUGCACAAGGGCUUAACUAACUUUCUGGGGUUAGGAAUAUUUGAACGUAGACUAAAAGUUACAUUUGCUUUGGCUUGGAGUUCCAAGAAUAGAAAGUUGUGAAAGCUUCCCUCUCCUAGAGGCGUCAAAUUGGCCAUGUCAUAACAGCCUGGCCCAUUUACUUCUGUGCCUAGGCCAAUUUAUAAAUUGUGCCAUGCCGUGUCAUGUUAGAAUACUCUAGGCCCAUCCUGGCCAAUGGGCACGCCACGAGUCAUGUCAUGCUCGUGUAAAGGUAAAAAUACAACUAUACAAGUACAAACAAAAUUGGCCUUUAUAAUUUUUUGAGAGCUGUAACAAAAAAUUGCCAAACAGCUAUAACUAUAUCAUUACAAAUAUGAAUACACAUAGUUUCUUUUAUUUUACCAUGGUUUUGAAAAAAAUAA